AUACAGAGGGUGCGAGCGUUAAUCGGAAUUACUGGGCGUAAAGCGCGCGUAGGCGGCUUGGUCAGUCGGAUGUGAAAGCCCCGGGCUCAACCUGGGAGUGGCAUUCGAUACUGCCAGGCUAGAGUAUGGGAGAGGGAAGUGGAAUUUCCGGUGUAGCGGUGAAAUGCGUAGAUAUCGGAAGGAACACCAGUGGCGAAGGCGACUUCCUGGCCCAAUACUGACGCUGAGGUGCGAAAGCGUGGGGAGCGAACAGGAUUAGAAACCCUAGUAGUCC
rnacentral:rRNA from 1 species